rnacentral:rRNA from 1 species
AAUGGGCGAAAGCCUGAUCCAGCCAUUCCGCGUGAGUGAAGAAGGCCUUCGGGUUGUAAAGCUCUUUCGGCAGGAAAGAAAUCGUUGCCCCUAAUACGGGUAAUGGAUGACGGUACCUGAAGAAGAAGCACCGGCUAACUACGUGCCAGCAGCCGCGGUAAUACGUAGGGUGCGAGCGUUAAUCGGAAUUACUGGGCGUAAAGCGUGCGCAGGCGGUUUUGUAAGUCAGAUGUGAAAGCCCCGGGCUCCACCUGGGAAUGGCGUUUGAAACUGCAAGGCUAGAGUGUGUCAGAGGGGGGUAGAAUUCCACGUGUAGCAGUGAAAUGCGUAGAGAUGUGGAGGAAUACCGAUGGCGAAGGCAGCCCCCUGGGAUAACACUGACGCUCAUGCACGAAAGCGUGGGGAGCAAA